GUCGAGCGGUAACAUUUCAAGCUUGCUUUGAAGAUGACGAGCGGCGGACGGGUGAGUAAUGCUUGGGAAUAUGCCUUAUGGUGGGGGACAACAGUUGGAAACGACUGCUAAUACCGCAUAACGUCUACGGACCAAAGGGGGGGAUCUUCGGACCUCUCGCCAUUUGAUUAGCCCAAGUGAGAUUGGCUAGUAGGUGAGGUAAAGGCUCACCUAGGCGACGAUCUCUAGCUGGUUUGAGAGGAUGAUCAGCCACACUGGGACUGAGACACGGCCCAGACUCCUACGGGAGGCAGCAGUGGGGAAUAUUGCACAAUGGGGGAAACCCUGAUGCAGCCAUGCCGCGUGUGUGAAGAAGGCCUUCGGGUUGUAAAGCACUUUCAGUUGUGAGGAAAGGGAUGUAGUUAAUAACUGCAUUCUGUGACGUUAACAACAGAAGAAGCACCGGCUAACUUCGUGCCAGCAGCCGCGGUAAUACGAGGGGUGCAAGCGUUAAUCGGAAUUACUGGGCGUAAAGCGUUCGUAGGCGGUCUAUUAAGCAAGAUGUGAAAGCCCAGGGCUCAACCUUGGAACUGCAUUUUGAACUGGUAGACUAGAGUACUGUAGAGGGUGGUGGAAUUUCCAGUGUAGCGGUGAAAUGCGUAGAGAUUGGAAGGAACAUCAGUGGCGAACGCGGCCACCUGGACAGAUACUGACGCUGAGGAACGAAAGCGUGGGGAGCGAACAGGA
rnacentral:rRNA from 1 species